CUAAAGUCCAAGCGUCACCACGAGGUCCACGAGCACGAACAACGGAAGGUCCUCAGUGUCCUCACUCGCUCUCUAAUUAAUUCUAAUCGUCAUUCAUUAGCAUAAUUUGCAUAGACAUGGAAGACUUCCACAUUCGCAAUAGUCGUGUCCUUGGUGGUCGCCUCAGCUUGGUGGUCAACUACCAUAGAGACGGAAAUCGCAUUCAGAUGGCGAAGUUGCUGAAGAAACCAGUAGCAGCGGUCUUUGGCCGCUGGAAUGGUCAUGCGGUUACUUUCCAAGGCGGCCCUGGAAAUUCUAUUGCACCCUGAAGGUGGCAGUUUUGGACCAUCUCAUGAGUGCCCAGCGACUCAUUAUUCACAGACCCGGUGUCCAUGAGGGGGACGACAUGGACAAUUUGCCACCUGAAAUCUUAUCAGGCCUUGGUAGCUUGGAGAAUAUGGGCGAGCGCAAGCUGGUUGUCCUGUUGGACUGCAUGCAUGAGGAGUUUGGAGUCUUUGAUGAUCCAGAUGUCCUCACUCUCCGAGGUGUUGCCCAAAAUGGAAUGAUGACUAGAUUCCCUGUUCUUUAAGAAGCCGCCCAUGCAGCGGCCAACAUGCAACCCGCCUUGCCUGCGGCCCAGGCCUUGAACCAGCAACCCGCGCUGCCCGCUGCGCAGGUGGCUGCCUUGAACCAGCAGACAUUACGGAGACAUUCUCCUACACUGUGGAAGAUGAAACUUUUUUUUUGCCGAAAAGAGUCAACGUAAACGAGGUAAAAGGGCUUAGUUUUGUGUUGGAAAGUGGUUUUUCCCUUGAGAUUAGUGAGCAAAUUUCGCUGAUAUUGACUGAGUCGGUCGUCAAGUUGGCCUUUAACUGAUAAGCAGACUUAUAUCUUGGGCCAAAACCUACUUGUCUGAAUAACUGAUUAAUGAUAUCCCAUUUAUGUGAUUGAAAAUCCGUAACCUGCUGUUAAGCUAUUAAAUUAAGUUGAAUUUAGUGUGAGGUAAUUAAUAUAAAAAUGAAAAAUUGUUCCAUUUUUUUUUUCAUUUGUGAAAAUUAGUAAUAAAUUACAAUUGAAAACAAUGUAAA